rnacentral:rRNA from 1 species
GACGGAGGAGGCUAGCGUUGUUCGGAAUUACUGGGCGUAAAGCGCACGUAGGCGGCUUUGUAAGUUAGAGGUGAAAGCCCAGGGCUUAACCCUGGAAUUGCCUUUAAGACUGCAUCGCUAGAAUCGUGGAGAGGUGAGUGGAAUUCCGAGUGUAGAGGUGAAAUUCGUAGAUAUUCGGAAGAACACCAGUGGCGAAGGCGACUCACUGGACACGUAUUGACGCUGAGGUGCGAAAGCGUGGGGAGCAAACAGG